UUUCGCGACCCGCUCUCUAAACCAGCAGAAGCGUCUGGAAUAAACAGGAAGGGGAAUUUGUUUUUUAAAGCAUUCUGAGUUUCAACAUAUAUUGCCUUCUUUGUUGAAUCAGAAGCUUUUUUUAUUUGACUUAAAUUGAAGUGCAUUUAAGAAAAAAUCAGCGAUGACGCAAUCCCAAAUACGGGGUGGUGGGGGGGUUGUUUUGUUUUCUUAAGAAUUUCCACUUUCACAAAUGAUUCAGGAAGGAAGUUUUCAGGUAGCAUAAACUGUCUCAAGAACACAGUGGUUCAGAAACGCUAGCACGGUGUGCUAGGUGAAGAAAGGCAGCCUCAAAAAGACCAACAAGGCGUGGCAGGGGAGAGCCUCGCUGGGCCGCAGCGGAAGUGACCUUAGAGGCGGGCGGGGCGGUGGCCGUGGAAAACAGCGCCGCCUGCUGGUCGAAAGAGAAAAAGCUCGGAUCUUGCCAGAGGCUGCGGCGUGGCUCCCUGGACAGUUACUCCCCACAGAUAUUUUCAAGAUGCUGCCCGUUAUGCCCCUUCCCCAACAAAAUUGAAAGUAAUGGGCACAACCAGGUAAGUCUUUCUGUAGAGAAGAAAUCUUAGAGGCCCGUUGUGGUUUGGGAAUACAGUGUUUCAAAGACCUUCACUGUUGUUAACACUCCCUAAAGCUAAAAAUGGUGGAUUUGAUUAUUAUGGUAUAAUUGUUACUUAAAACAAUCCAUAAAGGAGACUGAAAAAUAGAACCCUAUAGGGGCUCUCUUUCAUUUAUCCCAUCCUGCUUUAUUUACAAAAUAAUAAAAGUGGUGAUCAGAAGCAAAUUGGAAAAAAACGGGCAGAAGGUGGAAUUUCAAGGUGAUUGUGCUUAUCCUUUCUUAUUAUGGCCCCUCAUUUUUAUUCCAGGGUUGUUGCAGUUUCAUUUCUGGAGUCCCUCCUCCUCUCCCCACUUCCUUUUUCUCUUCACUCAUUUGACAGGAGCCUCCGCAGUCAUCGGCCUAGAAUACGUCAUCGUCAUCCACUGGGAGAGAAGUGUGGUACCACCUUUCUCCCCCUAUGGCUGAAGCCCGCGGAAAGAAGAUGAAUGUUGCGUUUCUGCUCCUGACCCAGCACGAUUGUUGGGAACUGUUAACCUGCAAGAUGAUGCCAAAGCGCAGCCUCCCUCCUUUUAUGCUGUAUAGAAUUUUAGGUUGCCCUUCAUUAAGCUGAUGCUUUCCCCUACAGAACCCUGUCCUUCACAUUGCCCAAAUGAUGUGCUAAUAACCUUCUCCUCUCUUCUACUUGCAGAGAUUCAGUGCAUUAAGCCUAAGAGUUGUACACACACACCCCGCCCCCCACCCUUUGUCUUCUUUUAAGGGAGUGAAGACCCAUAGGUGGACAAUUUCAUUUAAUUAGUCAUGCAGUGUAUCAGGUCGCUGUUCUCUUGACAUGAAAAUUUCCAUCUCCCAUCAAGGCAUAGCUGUAAGCAUUUAUUAUAGGCUCUGGUUCAAAGCAGGCCCUCUGUUUUGAGCAGGAGCACCAGAAAUUAGGAACCUGACUGGAAGAGAAGCUUCGUGAGGUCCAGAAGGAAAGUUGGGCCCCCAAGUCCUGUUUAUGAGUGCUGUAGCCUUCACAAUCUGGAUCCGACCAAAUGAACACUGAGAGCAGUGUCUGGCGUACAAAGAAGAAUAAUGGAUGUGUAGUAACUUGACUGAGUCGGGGACAGGAUCCAAGACAUGCCUGACAUUUGUUUAUCAGCAGAGAAACGAAGUAAAGGAGGAGAUGUCUCCCUCAGUCUUACAAAAGUGUCCUUCGGGGAGACGAUACAGGAACAGGGCGCUGAUAACAUUAAUACUGUGCAGGCAAGCACACGCCUCCCCACAUCCCCAGGACUGCUGAACCCAGUGUUAUUAAACUAAUCGGCAGGGACACAGCUCUGAGCCUCUCCUGCCACAGUCCUCAGAGGGAGUCGGCUCAGACAAAGCAAAGUGGCUUUUCCGAGGGGGAGGGGUGCCCACUUUCUCUUUGUUCUUCCUUGGAAAAUAGGCUCUCUCUCAAGUCUCAUAACCAGCUGCUUUCAUCUCUCAGAGGAAGGCAAAGGAAGUUAAUUCCCAAUAAAAAUUUGGACAGCAUAUUUUUUAGAGCCCUGAACUCUGACUGUAAAAUGCAGGGGCAAACUCAUUACAAUUCUAACACACUGUAAGUUUUAUUCUGGGUUUCUAGGCAAAAAUUUCAAAAAGGUGCCUCUCCUUAUCAAAUAAAAAUAUAAUAAAAAGGUCAUCUUCAGAAAGGGGUAAUAGAGACAGUGCUUUGAGUCCUUCUUAACCUAAUAAUAGAUGUCGUGCACUCUAUUCUUAAGAAUCUCUUCCUCAGAGGUAUGAUUUAAUGAGCAUAUUCCUUUGUCUGCUAAGAAAUAAGGGCUCUCUGAGAAGUCACACUUUUUUAUACUACGUGAUUUUUUUUUUCUCAUAAGAACGAUUUAAUAUAGCUCCUUUAGAGAUAAAAACAUUUAGUAUUCCCUGUCCCUGACUUACGUGUGGAAUUAAGAGAAAGGAUGUUUGUUCUUGUAUCAGGAAUAGGCCUGCCACACCCCAGGCACUCAGAGCAUCUGCUCCCUGGACUGAUUCUUAAACCAAAGCUACACAUGGCUUCCGUGCUUGACAGCUGAGGUGGCCUUUUAUAUCCAGUUGGAAUUUCUGUUUGGGCCUGCUUGAAUGGGUUUGCCCACGCAACAGAAAAUGGACUCUGUUGGUCAGAGAAAGCUUAAUGGGCUGAGGACUAGGCUAAUAUUUUGGAAAUGUUGUAGGUUCAUUUCCUGGGAAUUUACCCCCCAAAAUAAAGUACCUUCGGUCCCUUCAAGUGGCAUCUUCAGGCUCUUUAAGACAAUUCCAUUUUGGGGGGAUUUUAAGUGCUCACUAAAUAUCAGGUAUUUUGUCCAGAGUAACAGAAUAUCUGCAUAUUUGUAUUCAAUCCUUGGGCCCUGUGGAAAGCAGCUCUCUACCAGCUCCAGGGGAACCUCAUUCUUUCCAGCAGGUUAAAGAGGAAGUGAGAACAACCUCCAGCUAGGGAACCAGCCCAGUGUAAGGACGUGAUCUGAUGGCUCAAGUUCUACAGCCUCACCUUUGAAACAGAGCCAGGUUCUCAUCUGCUUUUGCUGGAUGUGCCUGUGUUAAAAGGCGCAGGGACCUGAAGAUUUCUAGUGAAGCCUGGGGGGAAAACAGACCAGCUUACUAAAGGGAAAGACACGGCAGUUCUACGCAAGAGCAGCAAAUACUCAUUGCUUCAUAAGACAGAGCUCUAGAAGGAUUCAGGCCCUGACACUGCGUCCUGCAUCCAUUCUUCUGAAGCAGAUCCCUCGCCCCCGCCUCCAGUUUCCGUAUCUGUAAAAUGGCAUCAAUAAUUCUUGAACCUUUAUCAUAUCAUGUUACACUGGUAUUAUAUAAGAAUUAGAUAAUAAAAUUCUAGGACUGGAAAGAAUCUUAGAGAUCAUCUAGUCUAGUAUCUUUGUUUGGAAGACUUGAAAAACACAGGCUGAAAGAAGGAGGCGACAGGCGUAGUGUUAUGAAAUUAGUUCACAGGCUUUAAACACAUGGUGCUGAACAACAGCUUGCUAAUCAGCUUUGUCACUAACAGGCCUUUUCCUAGUUUAGCCUAUGCUUGAUAAUAAGCUUUAUUGGCCAGGAAAGCAACUUUCUUUCUCCAAGGAAGGAAUUCCCCUCACCCAAGCACUAUGUAUUCAGAAAUGCUUCCCUUUACUAAGAACCAACCCAGUGGUCUUGUAAUAGAACCUGAGUCACCCAAUGCCACAUGCCUCUCACAGUGGCCCAGGAUGACACUCAAUAGGCUGAGGUCUGGGGCCCUGCUCUCAAAUAAGAGUGGGCCUGUCUUUGACCUCAGCCUGGCUGUGCCUACAGCCUCAAGAGCUGUGCGCAGUAGAGACUGUCAGGAACAAAUUUGUUCUUCUUGGAACAAAUCUAGUGUUUCUAGGUUGAAAUGUAAAUCCCUUCAUUUAUCAUUCAUUCCCUUACAACCUUUUAAUAAAAGCCCAUGUUUUGCUAAUCCCCUGAAAGCUGAUAAGACUCCUACAGUGAGUAGGACCCAGCCUCAAGGAGUUUUAGAAAGAACCAGAAGUGUAAAUUGCUUAGGUGCAGUGGAGCACGGUGGGAACCUGUAGGAAGGAGGAGAUGGUCAGUUUGCCUUGGUGGGGGUUUAAGGAAUCAGAAAAAUGCCAUAAAAGAGGUAAUACUUGAGCUGAGCUUUGGAAAAUGAAGGUUAUUUUCCAGGUGGAAGUGAGGCGAGUGCACGGCAUUCAGAUAGAGAGUGAGUCUGGUGCUUGGUGGUGGUGGGGGGAGGGGGGUGGGAUUUUUUUGGUCUGCUUAGUAUGAGGAAGCAUCGCAGUAAACUGGAAAUUUAGGUAGAGAUCAGUGAAAACAUUAUAUGACAAAUGAAAAAGUUUAGAUUUUAUUGUGGCAGCUCAUAGGGACCUUUGAAGAGUUUCAAACAGGGGAAUAACAUGAUCCAAACUGUAGUUUUGAAAGAUGGCUCUGGCAGCAGUGUAGAAGAUAGAAAAGGAAGAGGUGGGAAGAAGCAAGACCCAAGGCAGAGAGACAAUGCAAAAAUUUAGGUGAAACAAGACAGCUAAUUCAAUCUCUUUAAAGAGCCAGGAGGGAGAAUUCCCUGGUGGUCCAAUGGUUAAGACUCCACACUUCCACUGCAGGGGGCCCAGGUUCAAUUUCUGGUGGA